GACGAACGCUGGCGGCGUGCUUAACACAUGCAAGUCGAACGAUGAAGCUGGAGCUUGCUCCGGUGGAUUAGUGGCGAACGGGUGAGUAACACGUGAGCAAUCUGCCCUUCACUCUGGGAUAACUGCGGGAAACUGUAGCUAAUACCGGAUACGAGGCUUGGAGGCAUCUCCAGGUCUGGAAAGAAUUUCGGUGAAGGAUGAGCUCGCGGCCUAUCAGCUUGUUGGUGAGGUAAUGGCUCACCAAGGCGACGACGGGUAGCCGGCCUGAGAGGGUGCCCGGCCCCACUGGGACUGAGACACGGCCCAGACUCCUACGGGAGGCAGCAGUGGGGAAUAUUGCACAAUGGGCGAAAGCCUGAUGCAGCAUCGCCGCGUGAGGGAUGAAGGCCUUCGGGUUGUAAACCUCUUUUAGCAGGGAAGAAGCGAAAGUGACGGUACCUGCAGAAAAAGCACCGGCUAACUACGUGCCAGCAGCCGCCGCAG
rnacentral:rRNA from 1 species